rnacentral:ncRNA from 1 species
CAAGACGGUUGAUAUACGGAAGAACUUUAGCUGACUUAUAUGCAGUAAGAACAUAGAGUUAAAUAAUAGAGAAUAGACUCGUUUGUUUCGUCAUGAAUACACUACUCUUAUGUUCCUUCUUCUGAUUAAUGAACGUGUAUCAUUCCUAGCCAUUAUACGGAAUAUUAUAUAUCUUAUGUAUUGGGUUUGAUGCAAGCUUCUUGAUCAAGUAUCACGAGUUUGUUAUAUAUCGCAAACAAUUCUUUAAUAAAACGAUGCAUUUAUGUAUUUUUGAUUUGAAAAUUUGGUAUAACUCCAAUUACUCAGGUAUGAUCCAAUUCAAGGACAUUGCCAGGUAGGGAGUUUGACUGGGGCGGUACAUCUCUCAAAUAAUAACGGAGGUGUCCCAAGGCCAGCUCAGUGCGGACAGAAACCACACAUAGAGCAAAAGGGCAAAUGCUGACUUGAUCUCGGUGUUCAGUACACACAGGGACAGCAAAAGCUCGGCCUAUCGAUCCUUUUGGUUUAAAGAGUUUUUAACAAGAGGUGUCAGAAAAGUUACCAUAGGGAUAACUGGCUUGUGGCGGCCAAGCGUUCAUAGCGACGUCGCUUUUUGAUCCUUCGAUGUCGGCUCUUCCUAUCAUUGUGAAGCAAAAUUCACCAAGCGUUGGAUUGUUCACCCAUGCAAGGGAACGUGAGCUGGGUUUAGACCGUCGUGAGACAGGUUAGUUUUACCCUACUAAUGACAAAACGUUGUUGCGACAGCAUUCCUGCGUAGUACGAGAGGAACCGCAGGUACGGACCAAUGGCACAAUACUUGUUCGAGCGAACAGUGGUAUGACGCUACGUCCGUUGGAUUAUGCCUGAACGCCUCUAAGGUCGUAUCCGUGCUGGACUGCAAUGAUAAAUAAGGGGCAAUUUGCAUUGUAUGGCUUCUAAACCAUUUAAAGUUUAUAAUUUAUUUUAUAAACGACAAUGGAUGUGAUGCCAAUGUAAUUUGUAACAUAGUAAAUUAGGAGGAUCUUAUGAUCACCUGAUGCCGCGCUAGUUACAUAUAAAAGAAGACCCUUGAAACAAUGACAAAGCCUAGAAUCAAUUGUAAACGACUUUUGUAACAGG